GGCCGCCUAGCGUAAUGGUUAACGCGCUAGUUUCCGGUAAAUGGUUAGCUAGAGAUUGUGGGUUCGAGUCCCAUGGUGGUCG
rnacentral:tRNA from 3 species